UACAGAGGUCUCAAGCGUUGUUCGGAUUCAUUGGGCGUAAAGGGUGCGUAGGCGGCGCGGUAAGUCGGGUGUGAAAUCUCGGAGCUUAACUCCGAAACUGCAUUCGAUACUGCCGUGCUUGAGGACUGGAGAGGAGACUGGAAUUUACGGUGUAGCGGUGAAAUGCGUAGAGAUCAUGAGGAACACCGGUGGCGAAGGCGGAUCUCUGGGCCUUACCUGACGCUGAGGCGCGAAAGCUAGGGGAGCGAACAGG
rnacentral:rRNA from 1 species